UAACCAAGUGGCUAAAUCGUAUGAAACCAUACGAGCUGGCUCGUACGAAAUCGUACGAUUAGUUCAUCGCAUUUAACACAGCCCUGUGUUGCAGGGAUUUCGUGCUAAUUAAUACGAAUAGAUUAAAUCGUACUAUACCAUACGAUUUUGUUCAUCGCACUCAAGAAGCGUGACCCGUAGCCAGAAAAAAACUCUGGGUGUGCAUCUGAAAAUCUGCGUGUGUCACAGGCAAGAUAAGCAGAAACGCUGGGGAAUUCAGGUGCUGUAAAUCCGGUGGACAGGACUCAUCUCGUUAUAGAUCAAGAUAAUUUAUAAAGAUCUUUAAACGAAGGAUUGGAGUAUCAGAUAGUUGACAUGGUGUGCUACUGUGGGUGGCUCCCGCACACCCGUGGCUACGCCCCUGCCGUGACCCAAAUCUCGUUCGCACAUCAUCGCGAUAUGUAUCAUCUGUUUACAAACGUCGCCACUCGUUUCUUCACAUACAUCUCAUGCUCCUCCAUCUACACGCUCCACAACAUUUAAACCAACGGCUCUUUUAAGAGCCAUCACUUGCAAAAGCUCUCGUACUCGCUCUCCUACUCACUCACUCACUCUCCAACUCACUCUCCUACUAACUCACUCACUCUCCAACUCACUCACUCUUCUAUAGGGCUGUGCAAAAUAAUCGUCUGCGAUUCUCAUGCGUGUUUCAUCAGUAAAGCCGGUUCCGUGAUUAGAAGUAAAUCGCCAUCAGCUGCUUUCAGAUGGAGCGGCAUUUAUUACACAGACCCGUAGUUCACAGAGAAGCUAGGCAAAAUUGCAUAGAUUGUCGGAGUCGAUUUUCCUCGAUUUUAAACCCGGUUUUGCCUAGCUUCUCUGUGAACAACGAGUCUGUGUAGUAAAUGCCGCUC